rnacentral:ncRNA from 1 species
UGCGGGGCGGCCUUCACAUCUGAAGGAAGUCAGCGGCAAACUUCCGCCCCGAGGGACACGAAUCUCAUAUAAGGCUAGGUGACAUUGGAUAAGUCUGCAUAACAAGAUAAAAUCCAUACUGCCGAAGGUGUCACAGAAUAAAUGAGGCGGGGACAUGGAAGGUAAGUCUGUACU